CUUAUCCAUUUAACCGGAGUGUUGUAUCAUCUCUUCAGUAUCUUUUCAUCUCAUCAAGUUUUCUUCUCUUUUCUACCGGAGUGCUGUCCAAAUUCUGUCAUGCUUGUUCCUUGUCUAUCUCAUUAUACCGAGGUGGUCAUAUUCUUUUCGUUCGUGAAACUUUUGAUUCAUGUCUUUGCAACCUUCAGUUCUCGUAAUGUUCCUUGUUCCUUUUUUCUAACGGAUUGUUUGCAAUCUCGUUCAUCUCAGUCGUACUCUUUCUUUUAAAUUGCUCAACCUCUCAAGGUCCGUUGUUUCACUCGUUUGCCGAAGAAGCAACUUAGUUUUACCUCUUCUCUUCCUCUUCCGUUUCUCUCCGGUGCCAUCCUAGAUCUCGGGACGAGAUCCUCUCGUAGUGGUGGAGUGUUGUAACGCCCCGGAUCCGAUGUGCCAGGUGUCGUCCAGUUAUUCGUUGUUGUUGCCUUGUCAUCUUCUUGCGUGUUGCAUUUUAUCAUGUCAUCAUGUGCAUUUCAUUUUGCAUACGUGUUCGUCUCAUGCAUCCGAGCCUUUUCCCCGUUGUCCGUUUUACAAUCCGGCACUCCUAUGUCCUCCGGUGUUCCCUUCUUCCCUCUUUUCGUGUGCGGGUAUUAAACUUUCUCGGAAUGGCCCGAGGUUUGCCAAGCGGCCUUGGUAUAGCACCGGUAGACCGCCUGUCAAGUUUCGUGCCAUUUGGAGGUCGUUUGGUACUCCAACGGUUAACCGGGUAACCAUAAAGCCCUCUUUGAGUUGCAGCCCAACACCCCUUCCAAAGUGGCCCAAAACCCAUCUAACUCCCCUCCAUGUUCUCGGUCGUUCGAUCACGAUCGCGUGGCCGAAAACCACUCCUCAUUUGGACUCUCCUAGCUCCCUCCACCUAUAAAAACGUCUUCCCCUCUCCAUUUUCGGAUCAUUUCCCCCCGAAACCCUAACCCCGCUCCUCUCCGCGCCGCCGGACACGUCCGAUCUGGACCGGACGCGUCCGCCGGCCACCUCACUCCGGCCAAUAGCAGGCUGCCACGUCACCCCGCCGCCGCCGCUAGCUACCCACACACCGCCACCUCACCCGCGCCCGCACCCUCUCUCUCCUCCCUCCGCCGCAGCCCGCGGGAGGCCCUCCCGGCCCGGUCGGCUGCCGCCGCUGGCGGCACCCCGUGCCUCCCGGGCCCGCGCUCGCCCUCCGCGUCGCUAUGCCAUCCAUCAUCGCCGGCGACCGGGGCCUCGCCGGAGCCCCACAUCGCCGGCCCCGCCGCCCUGCCUCGCGGGUNNNNNNNNNNNNNNNNNNNNNNNNNNNNNNNNNNNNNNNNNNNNNNNNNNNNNNNNNNNNNNNNNNNNNNNNNNNNNNNNNNNNNNNNNNNNNNNNNNNNNNNNNNNNNNNNNNNNNNNNNNNNNNNNNNNNNNNNNNNNNNNNNNNNNNNNNNNNNNNNNNNNNNNNNNNNNNNNNNNNNNNNNNNNNNNNNNNNNNNNNNNNNNNNNNNNNNNNNNNNNNNNNNNNNNNNNNNNNNNNNNNNNNNNNNNNNNNNNNNNNNNNNNNNNNNNNNNNNNNNNNNNNNNNNNNNNNNNNNNNNNNNNNNNNNNNNNNNNNNNNNNNNNNNNNNNNNNNNNNNNNNNNNNNNNNNNNNNNNNNNNNNNNNNNNNNNNNNNNNNNNNNNNNNNNNNNNNNNNNNNNNNNNNNNNNNNNNNNNNNNNNNNNNNNNNNNNNNNNNNNNNNNNNNNNNNNNNNNNNNNNNNNNNNNNNNNNNNNNNNNNNNNCUCGUGUCGGCGCCGUUCCCCGCCGGGGACCCCCACCGCGCCGCCUCCCGCGCCUGGCCGCCGGAUCCGCCCCGUCCCCGCCGUCCGCCGGCGUCCUCGCCUCGCCGGAUUUGCAGCGCCGCCCCUACCUCGCUCGAUCCAGGCGGGAUCGAGGAGGACGAACCCCUCCGCGGGCCAAGGCCCAGCCCCGUCCAGAUCCGACCCAGCCUCCUCGGCCCAGCGGCCUCCAGGCCCAACGUCCAGCUCCAGCGGCCCAGCCGGCCUCCCCUCCAAGGCCCAGCGCCAGGCCUCCUCUGCUUCCGACCCGGGCCAGGCCCAAUGUGAGCACAACCCCAGCCCAGCACCCAGCGGUUUCAGCCCGUGUAUAUUUUUUCCUGCUACUGCGGUUUUAACAUUAUCCAUUGUAUUAACAGUUUUACAGAAAAACCCCUCCAUGUUCAUGCAUUAAUAACUCAUUAACCGUGCAUCGGAUUAAAACAAACUUUAUAUGUAAAAUGCUUAGAAUUUCAUCUAGUUUCAUAAUAUGCCAUUUUCAUCCAUGUUUAAAAUGUAUAAAAUGUUGUUUUUUUAAUUUUGCUCAAAUAGCAUGUUAAAAUGAUUUAUUUCAUAACUAAUUAACCGUAGCUCCAUUUUAAAUAAACUUUAUAUGUAAAUGGGGUGAAAAAAUGCCUAGUUUAACAUGGUCCACUUUAUUUUCCUGUUUAACAACUUUAAAAUAUGGUUUAGGACAGAACAGUACCAAUUUCGAAAUAUGCAUAUGAGGACUUACCGGAAUUGUUAUAUGUUGUUCCCGGCCUCAUUUAAACUUGCCUUGAUGUGUUGUUCUUGUGUGCAUCAUCUCUUGCCAUGAGUAGCUUCAUGUAGCUUGGUCAUGCAUCAUGCUUGUUGUGCAUCAUGUCAUGUUCAUGUGUGGUGUGUUUACCAUGUAGUGUGCUUCUUCUCGAUAGUUCCCGUUUCGUUGCGAUCGUGAGGAUUCGUUCGUCUUCGGUUGGUUCGGCUUCAUCCGUUCAUCUUCUUCAUGGACUCGUUCUUCUUCCUUGCGGGAUUUCAGGCAAGAUGACCGCUACCCUGGAUCUCACUACUAUCAUUGCUAUGCUAGUUGCCUCGUUCUUUCGCUAUGCUGCGCUACCUAUUACCUGUUUGUCCAGCCAUCCCAUAUUGCCAUGAACCUCUAACCUUUGACACCUUUCCUAUGCAAACCGUUGUUUGGCUAUGUUACUGCUUUUGCUCAGCCCCUCUUAUAGCGUUGCUAGUUGCAGGUGAAGUUGAAGAUUUCUCCAUGGUGGACAGGGUUUAUGUUGGGAUAUCACAAUAUCUCUUAUAUUAUUAAUGCAUCUAUAUACUUGGUAAAGGGUGGAAGGCUCGGCCUUAUGCCUGGUGUUUUGUUCCACUCUUGCCGCCCUAGUUUCCGUCAUACCGGUGUUAUGUUCCCGGAUUUUGCGUUCCUUACGCGGUCGGGUGAUUUAUGGGACCCCCCUGACAGUUUGCUUUGAAUAAAACUUGUCCAGCAAGGCCCAACAUUGACUUUUACCAUUUGCCUCACCUAGCCCUUUUUCCCUUGGGAGUCGCGCUCUCGAGGGUCAUCUUUAUUUACCCCCCCCCCCGGGCCAGUGCUCGUUGUGAGUGUUGGUCCAAACCGUCAGCCGCCGGUGGCCACCAGGGGCAACUCUGGGCUGGCCUACCGGAAGUUUGGACAAUCCGGUGUGCCCUGAGAACGAGAUAUGUGCAGCUCCUAUCAGGAUUUGUCAGCACAUUCGGGCGGCUUUGCUGGUCUUGUUUUACCAUUGUCGAAAUGUCUUGAUGUACCGGGAUUCCGAGACUGAUCGGGUCUUCCUGGGUGAAGGUCUAUUCCUUCGAUGAUCGCGAGAGCCUGUCAUGGGCUAAGUUGGGACACCCCUGCAGGGUAUAAAAUUUCGAGAGCCGUGCCCGCGGUUAUGUGGCAGAUGGGAAUUUGUUAAUGUCCGGUUGUAGACAACUUGACACUUGAUCCGAAUUAAAACGCAUCGACCGAGUGUGUAGCCGUGAUGGUCUCUUCUCGGCGGAGUCCGGGAAGUGAACACGACUUCUGUGUUAUGUUUGACGUAAGUAGGUGUUCAGGAUCACCUCUUGAUCAUUGCUAGCUUCACGUCCGUUCCGCUUGUUCUCUUCUCGCUCUUAUUUGCGUUGGUUAGCCACCAUACCUUUGCUUAGUCGCUGCUGCAACUUCACCACUUUGCCCCUUCCUUUCCCAUUAAGCUUUGCUAGUCUUGAUACCCAUGGUAAUGGGAUUGCUGAGUCCUCGUGGCUCACCAGAUACUUCCAAAACCAGUUUGCAGGUGCCUAUGUUACCGAGCAGGUGACGCAACCAAGCUCAAGGAGGAGCUCGAUGAAGAUCUUGCCUUUUGUGUUGUUUCGUUCUAGUUGAUCAGUAGUGGAGCCCAGUUGGGGUCGAUCGGGGACCUUUUGUCGCAUUUGGGGUUCUUCUUUUAUUUUGGUUCCGUAGCCGGACCUUGAUUGUAUCUGGAUGAUGUAAUGCUUUAUUCAUGUAAUUGUGUGAAGUGGCGAUUGUAAGCCAACUAUGUAUCUCUUUCCCUUAUGUAUUACUUGGGAUGUGUGAAGAUUACCUCACUUGCGACAUUGCUUUCAAUGCGGUUAUGCCUCUAAGUCGUGCUUCGACACGUGGGAGAUAUAGCCGCAUCGAGGGCGUUACAUUGAAGCAGACGCUCCCGGCAAGCUGUGUCCCGACACGUUUGCCGGGGAGCAUCACGCUCCGGCAGGAUCCCAGAUUCUUGCCGUAGAAGCGGAUGUUCCCGCAGCAGCAUUUACGCCUUUAGUCCUUGUUGUCGAGCCACAAGCUCCGACAUGGGCACAACAGAUAGUCCAUUUCCUUCAAACAGGAGAACUUCCGGAAGAGCAAGAAGAAGCAGAGAAAGUAGCCCGGCAAUCAAGUAUGUACCAGUUUGUCGAUGACAUACUAUACAGAAGAAGAUUCAACGGAGUGAAAUUGAAGUGCAUUUCCCGGGAAGAAGGACAAGAGCUGUUGGCGGAGAUACACGGAGGCAUAUGUGGUCACCACAUUGGCGCAAGAGCACUUGCCGGCAGGGCCUUCCGGCAAGGUUUCUUCUGGCCGACAGCCCUCCAGGAUGCAACUGCACAAGUAACCAAGUGUGAAGCGUGCCAGUUCCACUCCAAGCAAAUACAUCAACCAGCUCAAGCUCUCCAAACAAUCCCUUUAUCCUGGCCAUUUUCGGUCUGGGGGCUCGAUAUCCUCGGCCCCUUUCCCCGAGCUGUCGGGGGCUUCGAGUUCUUGUACGUGGCAAUCGACAAGUUCACGAAGUGGCUGGAGGUGGAGGCAGUGAGGAAGGUGACAGCACAGUCAGCAGUCAAGUUCUUCAGGUCAAUUGUUUGCCGUUUCGGAGUCCCUAACAGGAUCAUCACCGACAAUAGCACACAAUUCACGAGCCGCACCUUCAUGCAGUACGUCCAAGAUCUUGGCGCCAAGAUCUGCUUCGCUUCCGUUCCUCACCCGAGAAGCAACGGUCAAGCGGAGAGGGCAAACGCUGAAGUACUGCGCGGGCUCAAGACCAGAACUUUCGACAGGCUGCACAGGUGCGGAAGAAAUUGGAUCGAGGAGCUGCCAGUGGUUCUUUGGUCGAUCAAGACGACGCCAAAUCAAGCCACUGGACAGACACCUUUUGCUCUUGUCUAUUUAGCGGAGGCAGUUCUCCCCAUGGAACUCGUAUACGGAUCGCCUCGAGUGCUCGCUUAUGAUGAGCUUGAGCAAGAGCAGCUGCGGCAAGAUGACGUGCUGCUCCUCGAGGGAGAUCGUCUUCAGGCUGCUGUACGAGCUGCUCGUUACCAGCAAGCUUUGCGCCGCUACCAUAGCCGCAAAGUUAAUGCCAGAAGCUUCGAGGAAGGCGACCUUGUUCUUCGGCGCGUUCAAUCCGCCAAGAAUUCCAACAAGUUGACGCCGAAGUGGGAAGGCCCUUAUCGGGUAAAGCGAGUCACUAGGCCCGGCGCUGUCCGCCUUGAGACCGAAGAUGGCUUUCCAGUGAGUAACUCCUGGAACAUAGAGCAUCUUCGCAAGUUUCACCCAUAAGGCGCGGUUGCCAGGACCCGUUCCGACAACCACCUUUUGUACAAGCAUUGCCGCUGUCGCAUGUAACCCUUUGUACAAAGCCGGGCGCAGAUCCCGUGCAUAAAUAAAGAUUUUAUGUUCAGUACAUGUUGUCAAAUUUCGUGCAUUCUUCUUUUUAGCAUGUAUACACUGACACUUUGUGCAGAACUUACCCCCGGUAAGCAGCAACGAGCUUCAAGGCUCCAUAACUUUAUUUUCUCUUCUUUCUUUUGCUCAAAAAGAAGGUUCCUCCGCCCACAAGUUCACCAGGGGGGGGGGGGAGAAGAAGAUAAACAUGUGGACCGGGCGUCGUUCAAAGAAGCAUAAGCCUUGCCGGGACACAAGCGACAGAAAAGCUAAGUUGCCAAAGUUUGAGCACUGACAUUUUUAAAAUUUUUAAGUUAUAUUCCUUGAAGGACCGUGCCUUGUAUGGAAAACCUGUGCGCGGAGGAGUCGGCUCGUGGCUAAGUUGCGCCCUUACUUUGUUUCGAGUCCGCUCAACAAUGAAAGUGCGCUGCAACUAGCCCGACAAGGUUUCUUGCCGGAGGUAACACCGCCAGCAGGCUGCUGAUGUUCCGCACUCAGCGCUCGCGGCAAGUGUGUUCGCACCGGCAAGUUCCCUAAAAGCGUAAGGGUAAAAACAUACAAGGGAUGGAAUCAAAUAAAGGAAGUAACAUAGCGAAUAGUACCCAGAAUAAAGUUAUAUUACAAUAAAUAACUUGCCGCGCUCUAAUGGAUUGUUCCUAUGACAUAUCUAGCAGCGGCAAGAAGAAGGAAGGGAGAAGAAGAGUGGCCUAAUCUGCGCGACUCGCCAUCGAUCCUCCUGACUUCGUUCACCUUGUCCACGAUGGGUGCCACGAUGGCUUUGAGCUCCUCAAGAUCAGCACCCGCCGGCAAUUUCUUGAGAACGCGGGAGAAGUCGAGGCCUGGAUUGCGGAAGAGGAUCUUCACCAGCACCUUCUCCAAGACCUUGGCGCAGAUUGCGCGCGACUCGUCCGCCAGCUUCUUCGGGAUCCUUUCCCGGAGUUGCUGGAGGGCCGUCACCACGCCCUUGAAGAAGAGAGUAAGCUUGGCGCUGGGCUGGAGGUUCUCGUCGGAGGAGUACCCAAAGCCCGCCAAGUCCAGCUCCGCCAGCUCCUCGUCGAUGGAUGCAGCAAUGUUGAUGAGGCCCUCUAUCCAGAGCUCCACCGUAGCCCUGAAGGUGUUCUGGGUCUCAGCGGCCCUCGUCAGCAGCUCCUCAUUGCCCUUGAUCUCCUUCUUCAAGUCAUCCUCUCGCCUCUUGGCGGCGUCCAGUGCCUCCGUCAAGGUGGCCAGCUUCAGCUCCAGAUCAACGCUUGAGUCCUUGGCGGCGUUCAGUUCAUUAGCCUUCUCGGCGAGUUGAACUUGCAGAUCGCCAUGGGCAAGUGCAUCCUUCUCGCGUUCGCGCUGGAGUGCGGCAAGCUCUUCAUUCCUCUUUCCCAUACCCGCCUCCAGCUGCGCCACUUUCUCCUCUAACUCCUUCUUGGCGGCCUCAGCAGCCGCGGCGGCAUCCUUCGCCUCCUUGAGUGCACCGCCAAGUGAUUGCUCCCGGGCCUCGAGCUCCUCCUCGUGACUGUCCAGACUAGCCUUCUUCUGUGUGAGCUCACCUUCCCGCCUGGACAUCUCCUCGGUGGCGAGCCUCUGCUGCUCCUCGGGUUCAGCCUUCUCCAGGAUGAACGCCUCCUUUGCCUCGUCAAGUUGCACCCUCUCCUCCGCAAUGGAUCGGAGGGCCUCCUGGUUGCGGUUCUGGAGGUCCUGCGCGUGUUUCUCUAUGUCAACUCCCGCCUGCGCGACAAGCGCUUCCCGGGACUCGAGCUUUGCUUGCCGGGCACGGUAGAGUGACACCAACUUCCGGAGCAGCUGCUCCUCCUCGGACUCGCCACUCCUGCUGCUAGGCGCGUCAACCACUGCCAGCCCAGCAGAGGCGAGUACUUCUCCAUCAAACUCCUCUUCUUCAACCGGCGCCCUGGAGCUCGACGCCCAGGGAAGCUUGAUGUAUACGCCCUCGCUGGCCUUCAAGUAUGCGCCUGGCUGGGGCUCCUCGGAGCCCGGCACUGCAUCAGCGGCGGAGGGGUCGGCAGACGGUGUAGCGCCUUGCGCUCCUGCGCCCUCCGGGUCGUCAGUACGAUCGCCGGACCCCUCGCCGGCUCCUGCGCCAGCAGCCUUGGCGGCUUCCUCAUCGGCGGGUUCCUCAGCGCCGGCCUCUUCCUCGCCAGCGGCGGCAUCUCCAGUAUUGCCGCGUGCGCCUUCCUCGCCGGUGGCCUCAGUCUCCAUCGGGUCUGUGAGAGGGGGAUCUGAGGACAGGAAGAGGAAGGAGAAGUCAAGCAAAUAUCCAAAAAAAAAGAAGAAGAAAGAAGAUCAGAAGAAGAACCCAAGGGAAGAUUUCCGACAAGAAGGGUUACCUGUGCUGGGCUCCGUGACCAUGGGCUCCACCACUGGGGGCUCACUGGUUCCGCCCCUUGCCGGGGAGCACUCCCUUGUCGGAGAAUCGCCCCUUGGUGGCGUAGUUGAAGCCGACAGCACAUCCGGGGUGGCCUCUGGUUGCUCCUGGUGGGCCUGUUCUGCUCCUACACAAAUGAAUCAACAAUCAAGAUGUCAGCAAAAGAAGAAGCACCCAUGCGCGUCCCACAACAGGGAGUAAACCAAACACUUACGCUGGGGGCUGUGCUGGGGGCUGCUGCAAGGAGAAGGGAUGGGGUCCGUCAAGGUGGUCUCGGACGUGUCUUCUGCCAUCACAGCAGGAUCGUCCUCGAUGACAACCACGGGGACCUUGGCCCUCUUCGCCGCUCUCUCGGCCAGAGUCCUGAAAUGAAGCAGGGAUUCAGAGAGAAGCAAAUCAGAUGCAAGACAAGAAACGACAAAGAUCAAAGAAAAUCAAGAACAGCGAGAAGAAAGUCUUACUCCUCCUCCUCCUCUUCAUCGUCAUCGGAGCUCAGCGCGGAGAGGUCGAAGUCUGGUACCCUCUCUGCGCGGCAUGGCGGAGGAGUAGGCUCCCUUCGAUGUUUGCCAGGAGCUGCGGCAGCAUCAGACGAGGCGGCCCGGGAAGACCCCGCCUCAGUUGGUGGCACAGCCUGGGACCCUCCCGCGGCAACGGUACUUGCCGCGGUGGAGCGUGUCCCACGGCGCCUCGGUUGCUCGACUGCCUGUCCUCCUGCCGUAUCUCCAACUCGACGGAGGCGCCUUCUUGGUUGGAAUUGGGGUUGCGCUGGGGGCUCCGCCUGCGGCAAGCUGCUCGAAGACGGCUGGCCACUCGCGCCCUCGACGGGCUCGCUCGCUUCGGCCUCGGGCUCCCCCUGGCCAACGACCUCUCCGGCAAGGUCCUCCCUGUCGGCAAGGCUUGCCGCCUCGGCCGCCUCUGCCUCCUCCAACGUGAAGCCGAACUCGCCCGCGGCGGCGGCUGCCGCCGCCUCUUCGGCCCUGCUGGCGAUGUACCGCAUCUCAUUUUCGGUGGUGGCGCGGGUGAGAAGCUUCUUUUCGUCGGCGUUGACUGCUACCUCCAUCAAGCCAUUGAAGAAUUGCUGCACGACAUCGUCAGCGGGCUCCAUCCAAGUUGGGAUUAUCCCGUGUGAAUCGCACUCUGGCAUCAUUGCGCAGAUGCGAUCGCGCUGGGAGUUGUUGCACAAUGGGAUGAUGCCCUGCGGCAGCCUGAACCACUCUGGAUGGUUGGCGUCGUGCUUGAACAGCUCCCUCAGCAUCCUGUCAAGCUCCAGAACUGUGAAGUUGAAAUUGAGGCCCGGGCGCAGCCUCAUGUUAUCCGCCGGGCCGCCAAACUGCCAGGCGGGCCUGCCCCUCUUCUGCAGAGGGGCGAUGCGACGGCGAAGGAAAUCUGCGCCAACCGCCCCUGCUGUGAGCCCGGCAAGCCUGAGCCGGAGGAUUCGGGUGGUGGCAAUCUUCAGCUUGGUGUCGUCCGGCGACAGAGCGCCCCAGUCGCCGCCGCGAACUUCCCGAGCCUGGCGCAGGUUGGUGAAGGGCUGCGGAUUGGCAUCACAGAUCCAGCACCACUCCGCCCUCCACUCAUCCCACUUGUUGCGGAGCUCGCCCGCCAGAUACACCUCCUUCAUGCCAAGUCGAGAGGUCCAGGCGACUCCGCCAGCCAAUGGCUCUCCUUUUUCGGCUCGGGGGGUGAAAUAAUGGCGAAAAAGAGCAACAUUUGGGUGGAUGCCAACAAAGUUCUCGCAGAGGUGUGCGAAAACCGCCAUUGUCAGAACGGCGUUGGGGUGAAAUCAAGAAGAUGAAACCCGUAGGUAUUCAUGAUGUCGCAGAAGAAGUCCGAAAAAGGUGGCAGAGCCCGCACUAGAAGAACACCGGAAAGAAAUAGUACCCUUUUGGGCACCGCUUCAAUUUGGAAGCCUCAGCGGAAAGCACCGGCGUGCGCGGAUGCGCCCGCAUCUGUGUCGACCAGAAGAGGUAGAACUCCUCCCGCAGCGCCUUCGGGGUGAGCUCGGCGGGGAAAAGCACUCGCUUCUUGCACAGCGCCUCAAGCCGCAACGCCUCGGCCUACUUCGCGGCCUUGCUGGUCUUCGGAGCCAUGGCGGAAGCGGCGAAGGAGCGCGGAAGCGUUGGGGACGACGGCGGCGACGGGCGGCGAAGCGCUGCUCUCUUUCGACUUGGGAAGCGGAGGGGAUUGGCGGAGCUUUCGGAGGAAGGAACUGCAAGUAGCGAAGGUGGGGGAACGGCCCUGUUUCCUCUGCUUAUAUACAGGGGAGGCGAACGUUACACAUUUCCUGGACUUAAAAAAAUUGCCCACGACCUCUCCCACGACGCCGCGAUUGACGCGUGCCGUUACGGGAGGCCGCGGUGGAUACGGAGCGGAUUUGGUUUGGACCCAGGCCGCGCGUGCCCGUGCCCUGUUUUGGGCCUGGCCCAACAGCGCUCGGCACCGUGUAUGGCCCAGGCCCGGGGGCUCCUGUCGGUGUACUAAAGUAGGGGUACCUUAGUACCCCGAACUUGUGCACGGGCAGUCACAGCGUCCUGCGGCAAGGCUUGCCGGACGCCCGCCAAGACCCUCCAUCAUUCCCAUUUACUACCAUUCAAGAACAAAGUGUUAACUUUGAAGACAAGGCCCCGGCAAGAGGAGCUUGCCGGGAAGAACAAGACCCCGGCAAGAAGAGCUUGCCGGGAAGGACAAAACCCCGGCAAGAGGAGCUUGCCGGGAAGGCCAACCAAGGCACUUCAAAAAACUUGCCACGACGCGCCGCGCGUCCCGGCAAGACCCGACGAGCGGCAAGCUUGCGGGUGCGACAAGAUAGCGACCGCGGCAAGGCGCUUGCCGCGGCAAAGCCACCACUCUGCGCCCACGCUCCAGCUCACCCGACGACGUGUCGCCACAGGAUCAUUCCUGGUGCACGUGGCGUGUGGUUGUGCAGCCUAGCGGUGCGAGGUGGCGAGCGAAGGUGACUAGGAGUCCAUCGUGGCGAUCGGUGGCGCCCCUAACGGUCGUUUCCUGCACUGUUGGAACAACCAGACGGGCAGUAAAUGCUCUUGUCCCCUGCCGUCAGAGUUAGGUAGGGGGCACUGUAGAUUGCAGUGUACCAACCCACAUUUUUACCUUUCUACCCCUCUCUCUGCGUUACCACCUGUCGGUGACCCCUUUAGACUAUAAAAAGGAGGCCCGUGCGCACGUAGGGGGGGUUGGGGUCGGUUCGGUUCGACUCAUUCGAAACCACAGCAUACCCACGCUUUCGAGCAAGAACAAAUACAAACACAAAGCAGCAGUAGGAGUUUUAUCUCUCCGGAGAGCUCCGAAGCUGGGUAAAAAUCCCCCGCGCGCCCGACCUCGAUCUGCUCUUCAUGCACCCUCCGCUCCCUGCCGGACCAGAAAAGGGGCCCUGCCCCAUAGGUUCUCGUCUCACGCCACGACACAAUGGCUGCCAUCUCCUUGUGGUCUGUCGUCCGCCCGUCCCGAAGAGCGCUGGAGCGCGAGGAAGCCAUGGUGGGCAGUAGUGGUGUCGGCAGGAGAAAGAGAACGGAGGCGGAUGACUAUGGCUAUGGCCGGCGCGACAGUUUAUAUAGAAAUGGUGGGUGGCGGAGGGACAUACGUGUGGCGCUGGAGUAGUUGCCUUGGCAACCGCAUAUCAUUACUGUGGGUGGCAGAUGGAUGGACGGACGGUAAUCGCCUGCAGCGGGAAGCGGGGCGGGUGGCGCUGACUGUUUCGGGCAGAAAGCGCGUGCGGGCGAGGGAGGCGGUCUGGGUGGGCCAGGGCAAUCAGACUCGUGCUUGACAGCGGGUCGGUCCAGCAGCCAGACAUGCUGGCUCUCCAGCGAGCUCGCCGAGUUGAGCGACGACAAUCAGACGAUGGACGUAGCUUCCGACCAGGAGCCGGCGCCACUAUCCAAGCCGGUUCAUGCCAUGUUCACCAUAGAGCAGGUGCGGCCGCACUUUGACGCCCUAAGGGCGGAAGAGCUACCAGUGCAGGAGGACCUGUGUUGCAACCUCCGUCUCCUCAAUGAGCACCGAUGAACAAGCGAACGACAAUGCCAUCACGGACAUGUGGCCCUAUGAUCCUGGCUUCCCGAAUAAGCAGCGAGCGCUGUAUCAGACCAUCCGUAGGGCCCGUGAGGCCCUCUCCGUUGUCCUUCGAGUUGUUGUGCUCACCAUGGCGCCGUCGUCUCGCAUUGUCAACAUGGUCAAUGGACAUGAGGAAUGAGGAGAUGACUUUACUUGGAGAGGAUGACAGUGGGGACCCACCAGAGCCAUAGCCGCACGUACGCAAGUGCCUCCUUAUUAUAUACAACUAUAUUUUUUUGCUUCCUCCUAGUUUCCUGACAUCACGGUCCCACACCAUUGUCAACCUAUGUAGUCAAUAAAUGAGAGAAUUGCACAAGGAGCGGCCGAUAGUUGGGACCAAGCAGCUCGAGCAGUAUUUGUGCUUUUGAGGUGUGAGCACUGCAGAGUUUUUCUUGAGCGAUGUUUUCGGUGUUGUUCAGAGGAGAGUAGGGUAUUAACUCGGCGGGCUGUGGCCCGUCUAGCCCAGGCCAGAUAUCCAGCCCAGAUAUUAAUUUUUUUCAAGCUGAAAAUGGCUAGCCCAGCUAUACUUUUUUUGAGGAAUACCCAGGCAAGGUCAACUUGUUAUUCUCCGCCCCGCUCGGCUGCAAAUCUUUCCUUGGAGGGAUGCAUUAGGCUUAACAAGAAAAUGGGCUUUAAGAAAUAAUAAAUGGGAUGUAAUUAUAAAAACUUGGCAGUAACUAUAAAAAAAUGCACCAAACACGUAAUUACUUUAUAAAAUAUUAUUUUUGGAUUUUGAAAAUUUUAAUUUAAUUAAUUGUUGCAUGCGCAAUGUUUCGUUGGAUUUUUAUGUAAUAUAAAUUUAUAUUGAAAUUGUAUUUAAUCUGCCUAGAAAUUUCAGGAUAAAAAUAUUUCAGAUCCCAUCAAAAUGUGGGAAAUUUUAUUGAAUUCUAUUUUGAACGGUUGGAUGAAAUUAUUAAUCGUUGUCCUAGCUAGAAAAUGGGUGUACUUUUAACAAACUGUAAAUGGGUUGUAGUAAAUUCCAUUAGAAUUAAAAAAUGGGUUGCACAUUCUUACAAAUCUCAAAUGAGAUAUAAGUUCUCUGCCACACACUUGUGGGCUUACUAAGUUGACGCGUCCCCUAAAAAAAAUAAGUUGACGCGUAUGCAAGGCUUUGUCAACUUAUAGUCAACACACAGUUCUGGCAGCAGUGGCCAUUGGAUGUCCAUCCAACGGAUGUCGUGCUUCUGCUUCAAUCUCGUAUAUUCUAGCUUCACCCGCCCAAAAAGUUAUUCCUCCCCCUGACAUCUGGGGCGCACAGUUUCAGAAGCCGACUUAUGGUCCUACUAAGUUAACCCGUACCAAGGGCUUUGUCAACUUAGUCAAUAUAAACGAUUCUAGCUGCAGUGACCGUACGAUGUCCAUCCAGCAGCCGUCAUGCUUCUUCAACCUCUGGUCUUCUUGCUCCAGCCGCCCAAAGUAGCGUCGGUUGUGCCACCUGCUCCUGUCUCCCGUUGUCGGCUGUGCUGCCGCGGAGGCCUCACCGCCCCCUACUACUCCCACUGCUGGCCAGGCCAUCCCUCCACUCAGCCACACCCCCUGUUAUUCUGCGGCGACGGCAGCCUCACACCGCAGUCGAACUAGUGAACCCUCGUACUCCUCUCCGCAUGGGCAUCCACUGUCGCGUCUUCCCCGGCUCCGCGUUGUCCCUUUCCUAGGCCUCACUGUCCUCCACCGCCUUGGUGCUCUCAGUGCGGCGUGGUCAAUGUGGUCAACGACCGACUUCCAUCGGAAGAGUACUGUACGUGGAGAGGCUGACAGCUGGCUCCACGGCCGCAGCAAGGAAGUGCCUCCUUAUUACGCGGAAAAUAAUGAUUCCUCCACCUGACAGCAGGGACCCACCGGACGGGCCACCGUAUUUCGCAAAAAAAAGUUUCCCCCUGACUGCUAGGACCUACCAGCUACAUCUUCGCAUGCAAGGAAGUGCAUUGAUAUUACGAGCAAAAAAAUGAUUCACCCUCUGAAUGCUGGGACCCACCAGCUACAUCUUCGCACACAAGUAAGUGCCUGACAGUCGGGACCCACCUGGUCGAAGCGUACGUAGCGUUGUCAUUCCAGUCACGAACGUGUACAUACAUACUGGUCGAUGUAGAGGCACGUACGUGUCGUAGAAGAGGCACGCAUGUAGCAUAUACACGUACGUACAGUGGCCAGGGUGCAAGAAAGAAAAUACAGCCACGUACGUACAUACGGGCGGGGUCUCGAACGCCUACUCGCGCAUACGUACGGCCAGGGCUCAUGUACAUGGUUGGGUCAGAAUUGAGAAACUGCUCGUCGUCGUGUUCAUGGGGAGCCAACCGGCUGGGUCGGAACAUAAUGCGUCGUCGUGUUCAUCGGUUGGGCUUGGACGGAACAGCUGAUGGAAACGAGGCUUGGCGUACCACAGAAUGGGGGAAACGGCCUUGUGUUUGACCGGCCACGAUCAAAACGGGAUCCCGUUCAUCAGGAGAGGUCUGGCGUACUGCAAAACGGAGGAAACAGACUUCUGUUGAAUCUUCUAUGGUCGAAACGGGGUCCUGUUGACCGGGAGGAGUGUGGCGUACCGCAAAACGGAGGAAACAGACUUGUGUUGGAGCACUACGGUCGAAAUAAGGGUUCUGUUCGUCAGGAGUGGUGUGGCGUACCGCAAAACGGGACUCCACAGGAUACUAUUUAUCUCCACCGUCGACCUCCUCCAGCCUCCAGGGGCUACUGUUCAUCCACCUCGACCUCCUCCAGCCUCCACCUGCGACUAUUCAUCCACGGGCUCCUGUUCAUCCAGCCUCCACCGCGCGCUCCUCCACCGGCUACUGCUCAACCAGCCCUCUCCACGGGGUCCUAUUCAACCACCCCUCCACGGGCUACUUUCAUCUAGCCCUCCACAGGAUACUGUUCAACCAGCCCUCCAUGGGGUCGUCCUGUUCAUCCAGCCCUCCACGGGGUCCUGUUCAUCCACCCCCAACCGGCUUGAUCGGGGUCCUGUUCAUCCAGAGGCAACACCACGGGGUCCUGUUCAUCCACCCCCAAUGGGAACUGUGUAACGCCCCGAAUACAACUUUCCAUAUUCGUAACUGCAACUCUUGCCUUUUCCGGAGAUGUGAUAUGUUAUUCCCUUCGUGGUUGGGUUUUUGUCUUUUGUUUUGCAUUUUGUUCAUGUCUUGCAUCUCAUCUUAUAGUAUCAUGUGCAUCGCAUCCAUAUGUUUUCAUAAAACCCGUACCCGUUCGUAGUUGCCGCGUUCCCCUUGCCUCCUUUGACCGUUCCGAGACCAACCGAGUUUCUCGAGUCCCUCUUGUCUGACCACCUAACCUCUCUGCACAACCAUCGGCCUCCUCUUGUGCGUGUCCGAAACUUACCCGAACCCGAACCGGUCUGUCGUUUCCGAUGGAUCCGUAUCAUCCCCAAACGUCUACAAAACAUAUCCGUUUUCUCAUUUGGUUUCUCUAGCCUAUUUCCGUGACCACCCGAUUACGAUCGGAGGGACCGGAUAGCCCUAGCGUAAACCACUUGCUAUAUAUAUAUAUAUAUCUAUAUCNNNNNNNNNNNNNNNNNNNNNNNNNNNNNNNNNNNNNNNNNNNNNNNNNNNNNNNNNNNNNNNNNNNNNNNNNNNNNNNNNNNNNNNNNNNNNNNNNNNNNNNNNNNNNNNNNNNNNNNNNNNNNNNNNNNNNNNNNNNNNNNNNNNNNNNNNNNNNNNNNNNNNNNNNNNNNNNNNNNNNNNNNNNNNNNNNNNNNNNNNNNNNNNNNNNNNNNNNNNNNNNNNNNNNNNNNNNNNNNNNNNNNNNNNNNNNNNNNNNNNNNNNNNNNNNNNNNNNNNNNNNNNNNNNNNNNNNNNNNNNNNNNNNNNNNGGGAUCCAAGCCCGCAGCCAGCCUCUCUCCCUCCCUCGUUUUCAGCGUCACCAACCAGAGCCCGAUCCAGAUCCCCUUCGCUCCAAUCAGCCGCUGCCUCCUUCUUCCUCGAUCUCCCCUACCACCUUCUCCCAUCGAUCCAUCCACCCAACCCACGCACAACCAGCCGCUCUCGAUCCAGCCUCGUGGAGCGCUCCUGAGGUCCGAGCUCCUCCAACCUUGCGACCCCGCUACACCGGCGAACCUCGCCGCCGGCAACCACCACCAGCAGAUAAGCCCUGCGCCGCCCCUUCCUUCCUGCUUCUCUCUUCUCCCUCUUACAUCUCCAUCUCGUUUCCUUUUUCCGUCAGAGAACCAUCAGCCGAAGCUGUCCCUGUCGCCCGAGCUCCUCCCUGCUCUGCGUCGCGCCGCUGCUCUGCUUCCCGGAGGACCUCGGCGAGAGCCUCGCUCGCGCCUCAUCCCGCCCCUAUGCGUUGACCACCACGGCCGCCGCGCCGCCCCUCCGCGACGAGCUCCGCCGCCCAAACUGCGCCAUCGCCUGCCGCAGUCCCUGUCGCCGUCGUCUUCAACGGUUCCUGACGAGGACGGCGCCCUCCUGUCCGUCUCGAGCGCCAAGUCCGUCCGCGCCUCGCCUUCCUCCACCUCGCCGACCCCUCCGGAUUCGGCCACUGGAACCCGAGCCCGCGCCGGAUCCUCAUCGCAGUUCCUCAUCGCCGGCCAGUCCCGCCCUCCGCUGCUGCCUUGCCGAUGUCACGCCGGUGCGCCAUUCCCCUGCUUCUGUGUGCGAGCACGCAAGGACGACGACCAGUGCCAAGUUCUGCUCGAGCCGCCUGCGUUGACCCACCUGCCUUCGCGCCAAGGCCUAGCCUCGCCAGAUCAGCAGGCCCAGCGCCCCCCAGCUCCUCUUCCCCGACCGGGCCAGGCCCAAUGUGAGCAGAACCCCAGCCCAGCACCCAGCAGUUUCAGCCUAGUGUUAUUUUUUUCCUGUUGCUGCGAAUUUGCCUAUUAUCCAGAAAACUGCCCAUUUUCAGAAAACCCCUUAAUGUUCAUGCAUCAAUAACUCAUUAACCAUGCAUCGGAUUAAAACAAAUUAUAUAUGUAAAAUGCUUAGAAUUUUGUGUAGAUUAAUAAUUUGCCACUUUCAACCAUGUUAAAUAUGUUUAAUUUGCUGUUUGCAUUAAUUUGCUAAAAUGCCAUGCUAAAAUGAUUUAUUUCAUAAUUAAAUAACCGUAGCUCGGUUUUAAAUAAACUUUAUAUGUAAAUGGGGUGGAAAAAUGCAUAGAAUAACAUGGUCCACUUUAUUUUUCUGUUUAACUACAUUAAAAUAUGGUUUAGGGCAGAACAGUACCGAAUCUAAAAUAUGCAUAUGGGGACUUUCCGGAAUUGUUGUUUGUUGUUCCGGCCUCAUUUAAACUUGACUAAAUAGUUAGUUUACUUUUGAUUCACCCCUUGCCAUGUUUAACAACAUUUAAUAUUGAUGAGUAGCAUAACCGAGAGAACUAAAUACUUGCAUGUGGUGUUUCGUCAAUAUGCAACUCAUUGCAUAUUGAGCUCCACUUAACUUGUAGUGUUGUUUGUGCAUAUUGCCAUGCCAUGCCUCAUUAAACCGGACAUGCAUCAUACUUGUUUGUGCAUCAUGCCAUGUUUAUGCUCGUGCAUUUACCAUGUUGUUUGUUUAUUUCCGGUGUUGCUUCUUAGUUCCGGUAAUGUUGCGAUUGUGAGGAUUCGUUCGACUACUCCCGUUCGUCUUCUUCAUGGACUCGUUCUUCUUCCUUGCGGGAUUUCAGGCAAGAUGACCGCUACCCUGGAUCUCACUACUAUCAUUGCUAUGCUAGUUGCUUCGUUCUAUCGCUAUGCUGCGCUACCUAUCUUUUGCUCUUCAAGCCUCCCAAAUUUCCAUGUCAGCCUCUAAUCUUUUCACCCUUCCUAGCAAACCAUUGCUUGGCUAUGUUACCGCUUUUGCUCAGCCCCUCUUAUAGCGUUGCUAGCUGCAGGUGAAGAUGAAGAUUGCCCCAUGAUGGACAUGAUUAUGUUGGGAUAUCACAAUAUCUCUUAUAUUAUUAAUGCAUCUAUAUAUUUGGUAAAGGGUGGAAGACUCGGCCUUAUGCCUGGUGUUUUGUUCCACUCUUGCCGCCCUAGUUUCCGUCAUACCGGUGUUAUGUUCCCGGAUUUUGCAUUCCUUACGUGGUCGGGUGAUUUAUGGGACCCCCUUGACAGUUCGCUUUGAAUAAAACUCCUCCAGCAAGGUCCAACCUUGGUUUUACCAUUUGCCUCACCUAGCCCUUUUUCCCUUGGGUUUCUGGAGCCCAAGGGUCAUCUUUAUUUUAGCCCCCCCCAGCCAGUGCUUGUCUAAGUGCUGGUCCGAACCGAGCCGCCUGCGGCGCCCCCUUGGGGAAACUCGAGGUCUGGUUUUACUCGUAGCAUGUCUCAUGCGGUGUUGCCCUGAGAACGAGAUAUAUGCAGCUCCUAUCGGGAUGUCGGCGCAUCAAGCGGUCUUGCUGGUCUUGUUUUACCAUUGUCGAAAUGUCUUGUAAACCGGGAUUCCGAGACUGAUCGGGUCUUCCUGGGAGAAGGUAUAUCCUUCGUUGAUCGCGAGAUCUUAUCAUGGGCUAAGUUGGUACACCCCUGCAGGGUAUAAACUUUCGAGAGCCGUGCUCGUGGUUAUGUGGCAGAUGGGAAUUUGUUAAUGUCCGGUUGUAGAUAACUUGACACCUGAUCCGAAUUAAAACCCAUCAACCGCGUGUGUAGCCGUGAUGGUCUCUUCUCGGAGGAGUCUGGGAAGUGAACACGGUUUCUGGGUUAUGUUUGACGUAAGUAGGUGUUCAGGAUCACCUCUUGAUCAUUGCUAGCUUCACGCCCGUUCCUUUGUUUCUCUUCUCGCUCUUAUUUGCGUAUGUUAGCCACCAUAUAUGCUUAGUCGCUGCUGCAACCUCACCACUUUACCCCUUCCUUUCCCUUUAAGCUUUGCUAGUCUUGAUACCCAUGGUAAUGGGAUUGCUGAGUCCUCGUGGCUCACAGAUUACUACAACAACAGUUGCAGGUACAAGUUAUGUGAUGAUCAUGACGCGAGAGAGAUGUUUGUUUGUUUGGAGUUCUUCUUCUGCUUCCUCUUCGAUCAGGGGAUAGGUUCCAGGUCGGCAGCCUGGGCUAGCAGGGUGGAUGUCGUUUGAGUUUCAGUUUGUGUUUCAUCUGUAGUCGGAUGGUGCUCUUAUGUAAGAUGAUGUUGUAUUAGUGUGGCAUUGUAUGCCUUUUGUAUGUAUCACCGUCUAUUAUGUAAUGUUGAUGUAAUGAUAUCCACCUUGCAAAAGCGUCUUCAAGAUGCGCUUCUAUCCUUGGUGGGACCUUCGAGUUCCUUUAGGAUAGGGUCGCAUCUUGGGCAUGACAAGUUGGUAUCAGAGCCUCGACCGACCAUAGGAGCCCCUUGAUUGUUGGUCGUUGUUGAGUCUAGAAGAAAACUAUUUUGAGUCUUAGGAUUAUAUACAUAUCAGAGAGUAGGAUUCUUUUUACUCCUCAGCCCCCUUCGUUGCUCUGGUGAGGACUCCUGACAUAGAUGUUUUGACUUUCCUCUCCUCAAAUUUCACGAAUUUUUUUAGGAUCACGUGGGUAUCUUGGGAUCGUUACAAUAUUCUUAUGACGAGAACAUUGUUCUUGGUGCCUCCUGACAUUUAGGGUUUGUGGCAGUGUCCCGGGGAGUUGAGCUCUGAGGUGUUGUCGUCAUAAUUUUAUCGUUGCAGUUCUAGAAUACCUGAGUUUUGCCGACAUCGAAAAUCUCUUUUAUGCAGUUGUUGGUGAGAUAACCUCGACGUCACCCAGUACUGGGGAGUUCGGGAGUAUUGCCAUAGCUCGUACAACGGAUGCUUUUCGAAGGUUGAGCUACACGAUUUCCGGAGUUUUCUUGGUUAUGUGUUGACGGAUGGAUACAACUGGAUGUAGGGAUUGUUAGUUUGGGUGAGAUAUAUUGCUUCCCCUGUAUCCCCAACACCAGAUUGCAUAACCAGAAAGUUUCAGGAGUUUUAUAGGUGGGAAUUCAAGUAGCUCUUAGAAUAUCUUUCCGACAGAUGCAUGAUAUGGGAUUGGGUAUAUCUCUAUCGUAUGUAUUUGUUCCGGCUUAUUUCUGCAAGCCAAUCCUUUGUUUUGUUUUAUUUGUGGUAUUCGAGUUGCUUCAAUGUCAAGUGUUGAUUCCAUACCUUUUCUAAACGGUGUUCUCAUAUUUCUAUGGGAGUACUAAUCCUUUUGAUCAUCGAGAUUGUCAUGUCAAUUCUUUCCAACCAUUGUGCUUCUCUUCAAGUGGAUCCGUUCAUUUCAACAUUUGUGAGAUCAAUUCUAGGUUUUCUCAACGGUGUUUGUUUCAUCCGUCCCAAGUUGUCCUUGUUUUCCCGCCCUCCCACCCUUUUUCUUCAAGGACUCAUAUUUCUUAAUCAUGCAUCAUUUUAUUUGUGGGAAGUCUCUUCACUCUUUUCUUUCAAUGUUCUUAUCCGGUGAUUUCCCAUGAAGAUGCUCAACAAUUUCAAGUUCAUCAUCCUUCAUUGUUGUUUCUUCUCCGGUGGAUCCAAUUCAAGCUUUCAGUGUUGAUCAUAUUCCUUUCCUCGUGUCAAAUGCUUUCUCAUGCUGGCGCACCUCUCAAUCACUCACCUCUUGCUAUUCAUUUGUUCCAGAGUGUUGAACAUAUCUCAGAAGAUUUCUGUUUCCAUUCUUAAUCCGUUCAAGCUAUUUGGAGAUUGUUAUCUCAUUCAAGCCAUUUAAUUCAACAGGUGCAAUCUCUCUUUAAAAUCAUUUUCAACGGUGUUUUCUUUUGAGUGGGCCCUAACCCACGGGUUUUUCCCCAGGAUCCUACCUGACUCUUCUAAUUUUCUCGGAGCCAUUCCCAAAUUCAUUUCAAAGUGUGACGUAAGAAUGGAUUCCAUCAGUCAUAUGCCGUCUCCAAGAUCGUUUUCAAAUUCUUUUCAUCGUUGAUUCAACCUUUCUAUUCUUCAUUUCAGAGUAUCUCAACAAUUCAUGGUGGUUCUCAUCAUCAUUCUCAACAUUUGAAGACCGAAGAAGGAUUUCUCCUAAAUCUUGGUCCGUUCUCUUGAAGAUUCAUAGUUCUAGCUUAUGUCAUCCUCUCAUAAUUGUUUUCAAUUGUGAGAAUUCUUUUCAACCAUCCGACGCAUUUCAGGAGUUGCUUCCUUUCUCGAUAACCCGAAUGCCAUCAUUUCUGAAUAUUAUUCAUUCUCAACCUUCAACUCUUGUUCUCCAAAUCUUACCGGUGAAUCGUUCAAAUAACCUCUAACCAGUUCAUGGCCUCUUCGUUCUCAUGUAUCUAAAUCCCCUCGAGUAUCUUCAUUCGUUUUCAAAUUAUUUCCGGUGAUUUGUGCCUUUGCUACUUUCAUUUUCAAUUUUUAUGGUGGUUCGUUCAAGAUUUCACUUCCUUCAUUAUCAUAUCAUUUCAUUCGUUGUUUUCCAAUCCCACCGGUGGUCCCAUCAAUAACUUCUUCAAGUUGGCUCUCUUUUCAAUCUCUCAAGAAGAAUAAGUAGUAUGCCAAAUCCGUUUCUUGUCAUCAAUUUAAUUGGUGGAGGAUAAGCAUAACAUAAUUCUUAUUCUCAUUUCAUCGUGGUCAAGUUGAUUAAUUAUUUUCUUCGGAGAUUGUUCAUGAUGAUGUAAUUCUUGGUUCUAGUGUUUCAUCUUUUCUUCUCCGGAGUUCCAAGUUUUCUACAUUAUCUCGUCGCGAAGCUCCAUCUAAAUCAUCGCAAGGCUUCACCUUGUGUUUUCAACCUCUCUUUCUUUCUAUCAUCCUUUUAUUACCGGAGUUCUCCAUGGAGGCUCUACAUGGUGGUUCAUCAAGGAUUCUUUUCAUUCUUCAAUAGUUCUUCAAGAUUUCUCUUGAAGUUAUGAACCGCCAAGCUAUACUCUAAAAUAAACAUGGUGCUCAACACAUGUUUUGUUUUGGGGAGUUCAAGUAUUCUUCUUCUUGCAUUUCGAAGUGCAAUUCUUUCUACCUUAGCUUUUGAUGUGGUGUUAUAUCAUUCUUGGCAAUUUCCAUUCAGGUUUCGCGAUUCACAUGUUGUCAAGAAUGAGGUAUUUUAAAUCCAUCAAUCUCUUCUUUGGAGUUAUCUUGGUAUAGAUUUCACCUAAAGCCUUCCUUAAGGAAUGUUGCUAUUUGGGGUGCUUAUCAAUGAUCCGAAUUUUCUCCUUCUCAUCUCGGCAAAGAAGUUUUUCAUCUCUUUGGUGUUCUCAAUCAAAGUAAUUGUUUCCGUUAGUGGCCGGUUGUCACCUCAUAAUUUUGAGAUGUGUUCCAUAAGCCCACAACAAGCUUGUUCUUUUCGUUGUUGGUUUUCCAACAACUCCGUUCUAACCUUCUUGGAAGGAGGCUUUCCUAGUUCAUUUGUGGCAGAAGUUGGCAUUUUCUUCUCCGUUCUUUUAUUCCAAUGAUCUAUCUUCUAUUAUUUCUUCCGGAGGCAUGGUGAUGUUGCUCUCUUCACUCAUCAUCUUGAAUUGUGAGGAUCGUGUUCUUUUCAUGCUUAUCCAUUUAACCAGAGUGUUGUGUCAUCUCUUCAAGUGCUUUUCAUCUUAUCAAGUUUUCCUUCUUCUUUCAGUCGGAGUGCCACCCAAAUUAUAUCAAUCUUAUUCCUUCGCUAUCUAGUUUUAACCGGAGUGGUUUCAAAUUCUAUCUUGUCCAUUAAACUCUUGAUUCAUGUCUUUGCAACCUUCAAGUUCUCGUAAUGUUCCUUGUUCCU
rnacentral:lncRNA from 1 species